rnacentral:rRNA from 1 species
UUGACCUACGGGACGCAGCAGUGGGGAAUAUUGGGCAAUGGGCGCAAGCCUGACCCAGCAACGCCGCGUGAAGGAAGAAGGCCCUCGGGUUGUAAACUUCUUUUGUCAGGGACGAAGAAAGUGACGGUACCUGACGAAUAAGCCACGGCUAACUACGUGCCAGCAGCCGCGGUAAUACGUAGGUGGCAAGCGUUAUCCGGAUUUACUGGGUGUAAAGGGCGUGUAGGCGGGAAUGCAAGUCAGAUGGGAAAUUCCAGGGUUCAACCCUGGGACUGCCUUUGAAA